ACUGGUGAAGCCUACACACAUCCGGCUAUUAACCGGGAGGUUGUGGGUUCGAUUCCCACCAGUUCCA
rnacentral:tRNA from 1 species